rnacentral:rRNA from 1 species
UGGGGGAUAUUGCACAAUGGGCGAAAGCCUGAUGCAGCGACGCCGCGUGGGGGAUGAAGGCCUUCGGGUUGUAAACUUCUUUUGCUCUGAACAAGGCGCACCAUGGGGUGUGUUGAGUGUAGGGGUUGAUUAGCGCCGGCUAACUACGUGCCAGCAGCCGCGGUAAUACGUAGGGCGCGAGCGUUGUCCGGAAUUAUUGGGCGUAAAGGGCUUGUAGGUGGCUGGUUGCGUCUGUCGUGAAAGCUAAUGGCUUAACUGUGGGUUUGCGGUGGGUACGGGCGGGCUUGAGUGCAGUAGGUGAGGCUGGAAUUCCUGGUGUAGCGGUGGAAUGCGCGGAUAUCAGGAGGAAUACCGGUGGCGAAGGCGGGUCUCUGGGCUGUUACUGACACUGAGGAGCGAAAGCAUGGGGAGCGAGCAGG